GAACGCUGGCGGCGUGCCUAAUACAUGCAAGUCGAGCGGACAGAAGGGAGCUUGCUCCCGGAUGUUAGCGGCGGACGGGUGAGUAACACGUGGGUAACCUGCCUGUAAGACUGGGAUAACUCCGGGAAACCGGAGCUAAUACCGGAUAGUUCCUUGAACCGCAUGGUUCAAGGAUGAAAGACGGUUUCGGCUGUCACUUACAGAUGGACCCGCGGCGCAUUAGCUAGUUGGUGGGGUAAUGGCUCACCAAGGCGACGAUGCGUAGCCGACCUGAGAGGGUGAUCGGCCACACUGGGACUGAGACACGGCCCAGACUCCUACGGGAGGCAGCAGUAGGGAAUCUUCCGCAAUGGACGAAAGUCUGACGGAGCAACGCCGCGUGAGUGAUGAAGGUUUUCGGAUCGUAAAGCUCUGUUGUUAGGGAAGAACAAGUGCGAGAGUAACUGCUCGCACCUUGACGGUACCUAACCAGAAAGCCACGGCUAACUACGUGCCAGCAGCCGCGGUAAUACGUAGGUGGCAAGCGUUG
rnacentral:rRNA from 1 species